rnacentral:rRNA from 1 species
AACGAACGCUGGCGGCAUGCCUAACACAUGCAAGUCGAACGAGACCUUCGGGUCUAGUGGCGCACGGGUGCGUAACGCGUGGGAACCUGCCCUUAGGUUCGGAAUAACUCCCCGAAAGGGGUGCUAAUACCGGAUAAUGUCUUCGGACCAAAGAUUUAUCGCCUUUGGAUGGGCCCGCGUUGGAUUAGCUAGUUGGUAGGGUAAAAGCCUACCAAGGCGACGAUCCAUAGCUGGUCUGAGAGGAUGAUCAGCCACACUGGGACUGAGACACGGCCCAGACUCCUACGGGAGGCAGCAGUGGGGAAUAUUGGACAAUGGGCGAAAGCCUCAUCCAGCAAUGCCGCGUGAGUGAUGAAGGCCUUAGGGUUGUAAAGCUCUUUUACCCGGGAUGAUAAUGACAGUACCGGGAGAAUAAGCUCCGGCUAACUCCGUG